rnacentral:rRNA from 1 species
GACGAACGCUGGCGGCGUGCUUAACACAUGCAAGUCGAACGGAAAGGCCCUGCUUUUUUGGGGUGCUCGAGUGGCGAACGGGGGAGUAACACGUGAGUAACCUGCCCUUGACUUUGGGAUAACUUCAGGAAACUGGGGCUAAUACCGGAUAGGAGCCCCUGCUGCAUGGUGGGGGUUGGAAAGUUUCGGCGGUUGGGGAUGGACUCGCGGCUUAUCAGCUUGUUGGUGGGGUAGUGGCUUACCAAGGCUUUGACGGGUAGCCGGCCUGAGAGGGUGACCGGCCACAUUGGGACUGAGAUACGGCCCAGACUCCUACGGGAGGCAGCAGUGGGGAAUAUUGCACAAUGGGCGGAAGCCUGAUGCAGCAACGCCGCGUGCGGGAUGACGGCCUUCGGGUUGUAAACCGCUUUCGCCUGUGACGAAGCGUGAGUGACGGUAAUGGGUAAAGAAGCACCGGCUAACUACGUG